rnacentral:tRNA from 1 species
GAGGAUAUUGCUCAGUGGUACAGCACGUGCUUAGCCUGCAUGAGGUCCUGGGUUCGAUCCCCAGUAUCUCCA